rnacentral:ncRNA from 1 species
UAUCUUCAGGGCAAGGUGUAAUUCCUGACCGGCAGUGAUAGUCUGCGAGCGCAAUGCUGAUGCGGUGUGAUUCCGCAACCGACGGUAUAGUCCGGAUGAGAGAAGAU